GCGCGUGCGUAGAGCUGUCAGCCGCACCCAGGCCGCGCUUCUAGCAAAGUUGCAAAGCAACGGGCAGACCUGUCAGAACGGUGAAGAUCCCGGCGAUGGAAAAAAGGCGAAACUGCUCCGCGUAGGCUGCUCGGAGUGGCAUCGCACCUUGUUCGAGUCCGAAGAAGUUCCCGCUUCUCUAAGCCGGCUGAAGGGAUGCGAGUCUCCUCUUGUCCCAACGGGACUGUGUCCUGACACAGAGUGGACUCCGCCCCAAGAGUGCGAGCGUCCUGAGCGUUCAGGGCAUCCUGAGCCGCGGAAGGCAUCCGGCCACACCCCGCUCUUUACCCGCCAACGCCAGCCCAGGUAAAAAGAAAAAAACUUUACGUGCUUUAAGAUUCCUCUGGAGAGUCGCCAAUUAGAGAGUUACCAGUUCUGUGACCACCCCACCCCCGCCCCCCAGGAAGAGCGAAAUCUGUCACGUACUCAUCUUUCACAACCUUGCAUAGGAGGAGGAAACACCCACUCACGGCCGCCGGCCUUAAACGCUUGCAGAUUUGCGAUGGCAGGCAAAUCCUUCACUUUCUGGGAGCUGGCGCCGCGUCUCUGGUGCUUGCAGAAAGGAUCCAGUUUCUGUAAGGAUGCCCAGGCUUCGAUUGCACCUGGUUCUGAACACCAGCCCAGGAAUCCCACGUACCUGUUUGCGCCUCCUCCCCUGGCCGGUUACCAGUCAAGACCGCCAGGAACCUCUUAGAACAGUAGCCAAACCGGCUAGUCUUUUAUUCUGAAUCGGUCACUUUCCGUGGCUAGUAAAGUCCAACACUUUGGAUAAAUUGGCUUAGUGUAAAAAGGUGGCCAGGCUCAGAAUGGACUGUGAGCCUGUGUGUUAUGCAUCUCUGGUUGUAGAGACAAAAGGACAAAGAUGGAACCCACCAAGGAUGCUCCCGGCUGAAUGAAUUGUUGUUCUCUGGCUUACACAAAGUCAAGCGAAUGAUCGUCCCAUGUUAUGUAAUAUAGCAACGGCCUGCUUACCUUACUCCUUUAAUCUACGUUAUUCUGGAAAGUAACACUUGAAAUAAAAAGUAGAUACAUUCUACUGGGAAUGUGACCCUCAGAGAAGGAAAGAAAGACCGAGGGGUUGAACCUGAACACGUGAAAGAGAAUCCAAGGGAACCUGCUUGGUACUGCCACAUCAGAGAAGCCUCGGGUAAGGAGACUGGAUGCUUGGAAUCAUGGAUACUCAGAGCACUGUUAACAAAGAGCAGAGUCCAGUCUUCCAGAGUCAUGACCUGAAUCCAAAGUUGAAAAGAUCUGAGCAGUGUAUAAACAGCCUGUCAUAACCUGCAUAAUACAUUUUUAGUCCUGAAUAAAUCUAUUCACACUUCUUUCUA
rnacentral:lncRNA from 1 species